AGUGAACGCUGGCGGGAGGCUUAACACAUGCAAGUCGAACGGCAGCACAGUAAGAGCUUGCUCUUACGGGUGGCGAGUGGCUGACGGGUGAGUAAUACAUCGGAAUCUACUUUUUCGUGGGGGAUAACGUAGGGAAACUUACGCUAAUACCGCAUACGACCUACGGGUGAAAGCAGGGGAUCUUCGGACCUUGCGCGAUUGAAUGAGCCGAUGUCGGAUUAGCUAGUUGGCGGGGUAAAGGCCCACCAAGGCGACGAUCCGUAGCUGGUCUGAGAGGAUGAUAGGCCGCACUGGAACUGAGCCACGGUCCAGAGUCCUACGGGAGGGCGCAGUGGGGAAUAUUGGCCAAUGGGCGCAAACAUGAUCCAGCCAUACCGCGUGGGUGGAGAAGGCCUUCGGGUUGUAAAGCCCUUUUGUUGGGAGAGAAAAGCAGCAGGUUGAUACCCCGCUGUUCUGACGGUACCCAAAGAAUAAGCACCGGCUAACUUCGUG
rnacentral:rRNA from 1 species